GAUGAACGCUGGCGGCGUGCCUAAUACAUGCAAGUCGAGCGAACAGACGAGGAGCUUGCUCCUCUGACGUUAGCGGCGGACGGGUGAGUAACACGUGGAUAACCUACCUAUAAGACUGGGAUAACUUCGGGAAACCGGAGCUAAUACCGGAUAAUAUAUUGAACCGCAGGGUGCAAUAGUGAAAGACGGUUUUGCUGGCACUUAUAGAUGGAUCCGCGCCGCAUUAGCUAGUUGGUAAGGUAACGGCUUACCAAGGCAACGAUGCGUAGCCGACCUGAGAGGGUGGUCGCCCACACUGGAACUGGGCCGCGGUCCAUGGUCCUGCGGGACGCCGCAGUCGGGAAUCUUCCGCAGUGGGCGAAAGCUUGGCGGAGCGACGCCGCGUGAGUUAUGAAGGUCCUCGGAUCGUAAAACUCUGUUAUUAGGGAAGAACAGAUGUGUAAGUAACUGUGCACGUCUUGACGGUACCUAGUCAGAAAGCCCCGGCUAACUACGUG
rnacentral:rRNA from 1 species